AACAUGGUGCCAUGACUCAUGAGCAGAUGGCAUGGAGAUUAGAUUGAACCUUUAGGGUUCAAUUGCACAUACCGGUAGUUUUUGUUCACAUUCGAACACUUCUUAGCUGUUAAGCCACUGUCUUCUCUUCUGUCUCGAAGCUACGAACAUGAGUUUGAUCAAACUGGGGGAGGCAGUGCAAGACAGGAGUGCCUGGCGUGCUAUGGUCCAUGGGGUCACGAAGAGUCGGACACGACUAAACGACUAAACAACAACAAGCCACUGUCUUCACAUUCAUAUUAAACCCAAGUAGUAGCCAGGGCAUGUGUUCAGAUAGCUGCACAUGCAUCUUGUUUUUUUUAAAUAUCAUUCCUGCCCAGGAAGUGCAGAAAAGUCAGGCAAUUGUAAUUUCUGAGCAUAUACACUUCACCAUUUUUUAGUUUUGUGCAAAUAUGUUGGAUCAAAAGAAAUGCUAUCUCUCUAUGCUUCUCCAUUCAGGAGUGGGCCAGAAUAGUUACUAGCAUGGGUGGCAAAUAAAUGAAAGCACAAAGAAAGUAGUGGGUGAGGAAACCCAAAGUCAAAGGGAGCAUUGCUUCUGUCCAAAAUGAAUACAUUUAUAUACUUCCAUUAGAAGGCAGGCCUGUCUUUGUUAAAUGCAAGUCUGCCCUGGUCAUGCAUAGCCUGUGUAAGUGUGAGGUCACACACAUGUACCUAAUUUUAAGAGCAAGUGAAGGGUGAGGAGUGUUGAACCCUUCCCAUGAUCACCACUCACCUCCCUGCAACCUCUUUCCUCAGUCAACAUUAUCCCAUCAGGCUCACUUCCAGUACAAGGGAGGUAAGCUGCGGGCAGGGUGAGCAUUUAACAAUCCUCACCCACAACCCCCUCUUGCAUUUUGAGAUCAGGUCCUCCACUUUAUAGUCAUUGAGGCAGGUCUAGAUUUAAAAGGCAUGUUCCUGCCAUGUUUUGUUUGGCCAUUUAAUUCAGUUACCCACUUGAAAAUUUUAUGUAAGACACUGACUUUUCUGAGCAUGUUUCUGUACUGUAUUUUGUUUUACACAGUUUAAGAGCAAACAAACGCAGGGACUCUAUUACAUUCCUGCAAACAGCAGUAGUUAACAGGUAAUUAUCAGUAAAACAUUUAGCCACAGAAGCUUGGAUUCCCACCUACCAGUUGUCAACAAUAAAAGCUUGGAGACUCCACAGGCUAUUGGACAAACAGUCCACAGGGAUCCCCAGUCAGCACUCUUAAUGUAAAUAAACAGCCCUGCGUUGAGUGGAUAAACAAAAGCCUGGCUGUAAGUGAUCACAGGGAAGAGGGAGAGAUCAGGAAGCAGUAAAACUAUUAGAACAACAAGAAGUGAUUAACUUUAUAAGAAACCCAGCAUAUCAGCUAGGAUUCUGCUUUCAUCCGAUCACUUCAUAAGCUGUAUGCCAUUUGUGAAUUUGGAAGGCUGUUAAAAUGGAAAAGUUGCCAGUUUUUACUUGAAGGUGGCUCUGAGCUUUAACAGCUGAUAGGCAGAAGUUCAGCCAGAGGCAGUACACCUCUCAAUACCAGUUUCUGGGGAGAGAGUUGUCAUGCUCAUAGCUUGUGGGUUUCCCUGUCAUGGACUAGUUGGAUACAGAGGAAUUGUGGAAGGAACCAGCUGGGGAACCACCAAGGGGGAAAACCCCUGGGGAGUGAUGGUGGGACAACAAUGAGUGGUCAGAGGGAGAAGAUUGGGAAGAGGAGAUGUCAGAAGCUGAAGGGGUAACGGCUUAGUGAGCAGGGAGAGUCUAUGGCAGAGAGAAGUCCAGAAUCCAAGGCAGAAGCUGAUGCAAGAGGGUGGGAGGAGUGUGGUCAAGAGGCAGAGAUGAGUCAACCUGGUGAAGAGUCACAGGAGAGGCAUGAAAAGGGCGGAGCAAAGACAGAUGGCAUGCAGAUGCACUCUCCGAUUGCUUGGAACAAACCUGGUAGAGGAGGAGACACAGGCAGCUGUGGGAAGGCAGGGAUCUUUAGUCUUGGCAGCUGAUUUCAUGGAGUAAGACCUAUAGGCCAUGAGCUGCUGUGCUCAUUAGGCCUGACACUCAGCCAAGUCUGUGAAGAUCAUGGUUUUACUAAUGAUCUUGGUUUAACUCCAACUUUGAACUGUAUGAUUCACUAGCUGGCUCGCUCUGUGACAUUCCCAUGGGUAUCUGGUUGGCCACUGUGAGCACAGGAUGUGGGACUUAGAUGGGCCCUGGCAUGAUCCAAUCGGGCUCUUCUUUUUUCUACAGUGUAGCAUUUCCCACCUUGGAGAGAGAUUGAUGGGAGACACUGCACCAGUUGAAUUUCAGUCCAUCUGUUAAAGGCAAAGCAUCUUUGUCGAGACGAUGCCAGCCCACUUCACUUUACAUGUAUACAUAAUUUUAUUUGUAUGCCACCUUUUCACGGGUGAAGCCAUGCUGAAGGCGGCUUACAACAUGAAAAAAAUGUAACUACAACAUAACAGAAGUAGUCAUAAACAAUAAAUAAAACAUUGAAAAAUACAAAGCCAAACUGAACAAUUUCCACAUAAAUCACAACAAAAUCUAAAAUAAAGAUGAAAAAAACAACAACCAAUAAUAACAAUCACCACCCAGCAACCACCCCAGGCACUACGCCAGCCUAUUAUUUGAUCCUAACUUUAUUUUUGCUUUGAAUGGGAUAUAUUUCUGCAGAUGGUAUACUGUAGCCAGAAAUAUAGCCUUCAUUGAGAUGUUAUUGAUCUUAACAUGUCUUCUUUUUUAUGCUCUACCUUAAGAAGAAAGGAUAUAAUUAACUGAAAUUAUUAUUCUAAUGGAUCCUAAGAACAGAAAGAAAAGCCUACUAGUUCGGGCCAUUGGCCCAUCUAGUCUAGCAUCCUGUUCUCACAAUGGUCAACCAAUGCCUAUAGAAAUCUCCAAAGCAGGACUUGAGCAUAACAACAUUCUCCCCAUUUGUGAUUCCCAGGAACUGGUGCUCAGAAACAUUUUGCCGCCACCAGUAUGUUUUGAUCAGCCCACUCUUUUCAUGAGCUCCCUUUAUUAUCCCCCCCUGCCCACUAGAAGCUCAGUUUGACCUUUGUGACCUGGAAACCUAUUUCUGUGGACAUUAUGCCCUGCUGUCUUGUCCCUGCUGUCUCUGAAAAUCAUGUUGAUCCAAGAUGAUUGGCAUAUGUUCCAAGACCACAUGCCUUCUUUCAGUGUUUAAUUUCUUUCUUUCUUUCUUUUAAAAAAUUAAUUUUAUUCAGAGUUUUCAACAUAAAAUACAAUAAAACUGUUUAAUUUCUAAGGGGAGAGUUGCUGGAUGCUGUACCCUCCUAUCUAAAGCUCCCCACCUCAUUAUGUAGGGGUUGUCUCUGGGUAAGGAAAGCAACUUCUCACGUGUGUGUGUGUGUGUGUGUGUGUGUGUGUGCGCGCGCACACACACACACACACACACACACAGAGUUCUGGGCUGUUUCCUCAAUUUGAAAUAUAUUCCAUCUAAGCUCUAGCUCAAACAGCACCUCUCUGUCCCUGUUUCAGAUAUUUUGGAGUGCCAGUUUAAUUUUACCUCUUGAGAUCGUCUACAUCCUGUUUUCCCCAGGUUCCUUUAAUCUCUUAUGCAUUUCUUAAAGAUUUUCUUAAUUCUUCCCCCCCUUUGUUGGCAGACCCUAGAUCUUCUAACGAACAUUCAUGCUGUGUCCUCCAGUAACUUGAAAGCAAUUAAGCAAAAAGUAACAAUUUUAGACAUCUAUCAUAUAAUUUGAAAUUACAUAUGGAUUUAGAGUUGAGGGAUGGAGAAGAGUGCUUUGAAAGAUUAGUUCUUAAAUUUUGAUUUAAGAACUGACUUAUUAACUGAAAUAAUAUGAAGCGGGUUCCUCUUUUUCUGACCUUUGCAAAGUCUAACCUAGUCAAUUAUUACAGCGAAGCAGGGAAUCGGGGAAUUGCUUUGAAUCAGUCAGAUCCAAACAGAUUUAAGUUUGCAUGGGGCUGAAUAAGACAUUCAUUAAAAAAAUAAGCUAUACCACACAAGGAAUAGUUCUGCAAAACAACAGGGCUGUAAGACACACAGCACACCUCCAAAUGAAGGAAGAUGCCCUUGUACUAUGAGAAGGAAGAACACGAAGAGUCCAAAUUUAAAUUUGAGCAAGCUUUACCUUCGUUUGGAUUUAUAGCCAACCUCCAGAGCUAAACAAACAAACAAACUCCACAUCCUAAAAUGUGAGAGGAAGUAUCCAAGAAGUUAACAACCUCGUGUUUUAUAGAUUGACAAUACAGAAACACCCUAAACUAGGAGAGCUCUCAAAUGCUAAGACCUCCUGCCAACCUAGCAGUUUGAAAGCACAUCAAAGUGCAAGUAGAUAAAUAGGUACCGCUACAGCAGGAAGGUAAAUGGCGUUUCCGUGUGCUGCUCUGGUUUGCCAGAAGCAGCUUUGUCAUGCUGGCCACAUGACCUGGAAGCUGUAUGCCGGCUCCCUCGGCCAAUAACGCGAGAUGAGCGCCGCAACCCCAGAGUCGGUCACGACUGGACCUAAUGGUCAGGGGUCCCUUUACCUUUACAUAUUGAAGUAUGAGUCUAUUGUAUGUACCAUGAAGAGUCUGAAGAGUGGCAUAGAGGACAAAGGAAGCAGAAGCAGAGACAGGCCAGGAUCGAAAAGGCCACUCACGGAACACUGUGCAUACAAUGCAGCUUUUCCACACCCCAUUCCAAAGGCAGUCCCUUGCACCAACUGAAAAACUACUCCUGAUAGUCAGGGGGCUUGCUGCAUUAGGAUUCAAUGUGGGGGUGCAUCUGGAAGGGAAAAUUGCCCUGCUGUGCGUGCCUGGAAGUUUACUCUAUUUGGACACAAGAUGACUGAAUCCUGACUAAGCUCAACAACUAAGACCCUAUUGUUUGUUGAUUGCUGUCCAAUCCUAGUGCAGCCUGAGGUUUAUCAGUCACCAGUUACCUUUUACACAGAGUUGACCCACUGGCAUUAAUUGCCAUGAUUUACUUAAGUCCAUUAAUUUCAGUCGGUCUACUCUGAGUAAAAGUUAGUUGACGACAAACCCCAGGCUGGUAAGCUUCAUCAGCAACUCUAGUGGUAAGUCUCCUCUCCUAUAUGUGCUGUUUUAGUAACUCACCCACAGAAAGAACACAAUAAUUUUAGAGUCCUUAAAUAUUCAUAAUUCUCUUACAAGUCUUGCUAAUGCAAUCAAAAAUCAAAAUUGGCUAUUUCAGAGGUUUUAUUCUGAGGUAACAAGGGGGUGGGAUUCCAGAGUAUUUCAGCUCCCCCUAUUGUUGGCUAUUUUUGGUCAUUUAUGGCACUGUCCCUGUGCAAGCUGCUAAGUGGUGCUUUAUUUUCUUUAUGGAACUUUAAACUUCACACACCAGAGGUAGCAUGUCUGCUAUUGUGCAUCUGACCCCAGGGAAGUGAUCCAGAAGCACCAGAUCUUACAGAGAGUUGCUAAUUCUUAUUUAAAUAUCAUAUUCAUUUCUUGAAUGUGCAAACAUAUCAGAGGCUGAAGUGAGUUCAGAGGUUCUUACAGCAGGAUUGCAUAAAGACAGCUUUAGCAGAUAACACUGGAGGAUGCCAUUUCAAAAAAGUAUGUUCACAAAGAAAGCGUUCCCAUUCUGUGUUUCUUAAACUCUAGAAGACACUGGCCUUCUCUGAAAGGUGCCCAGCUUGACGCAGUCAGCUCCAUUGUCAUCUGACUAGUAGUGCAGUUGAAAGUUGAACACUGAUUAAAUUGUGCAGAGUCCAGAGAUAGUUGAAAGCAUAGCACAAAGUGAAUUGUGGAAAGAAAGAGCUAGUUUCUGAUUUGCGCUGGGAGAGAGCGCAAGCCUUUCUUCCCUGUGCCUGAAGUACUCUUCUUCCAAGUUGUACACACUGUGAAAAGAAGAAUUUGCCUUUGUCACUACAUUUAUUCAGCUUCUUCUUUGUUGUGUAAUCACUGAUCAUUUUGAUCCUGGAAACCACUGACUUGCUAAAAAAAUAUAUAUACUGGAAGUUCAAUUGUAUUGUCCUGCUAAGUGCUAAGGAAAUUUUAACUACUGAUAGGAUUGCCAAAUUUCAAAAGAUAAAAACAAGGACAUCCCAAAAGUUGUUGAGCUUUUUUUUCUUACAGAGACACCCCCAAAAAAUGCAAUUUUUAAUUGACUUGCCUAAGAUCCAGGACAAAAUGCCGCCUUUUGGAAAUCCCCAAUUCCGCCAAUGAAAUCCCGUUAAUUUCUGGGAAAAUCUGUACACAUGGCAGCCCUAGUUGCUGAUCAGGCAUGGAGGCACGGGAUCCUUAAGAGUUGAAACAGACAGAGAUGACUGAGAUCUCUGCCCAACCAUGAAGCAACCUUAGUCAGUCUUUGGGUCAGUCACCCCACAAGGUUGUGGUACGGAUAAAAUGAAAUAACUCACAUAUAUGCCACACUGAAAACCUUGGAGGAAAUAAAAAUGUAAUCAACAGACUCACAAAACUUUUCUGAAGCUUGGGCAAGAUUAAACUUGCCAUCCAAAGAACACACAGGACAGAGUCUUUUCAUCGUAGCAUCCAGGAAGCUUUGGUGUCUCUCACUUUUUUGCUGUCCCUGGUGUGCUUCCGAAACCCUUUUUCAUUCACCAUAACUUUGUUUUUGCUUCUCUUCCCUCUCCUCACACCUUCUGAUUCCUGGCUUUUACCUGUUUGGUUGUUGUUUUAGUUUAAAACUGCAAUCCUACAGACCUAGAGUACGUCCCAUUAAACUCAUUGAGACCUAAUUCUGCAUAGACAUGCCUAGGAACAUGCUAUUCGCUAAUGUUGUGAACUACUUUGUGGGCUCUUGUGAGUGGACAAAAGGCGGGGUAUAAAAUCAUAUGUUUUAAAGAUAACAUAAAGACAGUAGGCCCACUGUCUGGUUCUUCAGCAUGGGGCACUGGCUGAUUAAGAAUGAAGGGAGGGAGGGAAUGCAUAUUACUCUUUCCCUUGACAUUGCCUGCAAUAGGAAAGCUAUAUGCCACAGGAAGAUUGCCUCUACUAAACCGCCUGAAGCUGGACUGCUAAUUUUGCCUCAGCAGAAAAUACCUCUGCAAUUUUAUAUAAACCAAUAAUUUAUAUACACAAUUAAAGUGAAUGAGAAUAAUUCAAGGCGAGGCUUACCGAGUUUCAUUGCCAGUGCCCCAUGCAGAUGAACCAGACAGUGAAAUCAAUACAGAACUUCAUUUGUGUGUGUAUGUUCAAAGAGACACAUUGCAACUUGGGUUGGUUCUUAUCCCUGAUCACAUAUCUAAAAAUACCCAUAGUAAUAUUAAUUAACAAUAAAACGAAUAAUUUUGAUUGCCUUCUGUACUACAGUGCAGUUUCCAAUAAGACAACACUUUCAUCACCUGUAACAGCUUAGUUGGUGGCUUAUGUAAUUCAUUCAAAGUAUGUUAAACUAAAUGAAGCACCACUUCAUUCGUUGGACUGGUCAUGUUCGGAUGCCCGAUGAUCGUCUUCCAAAGCAACUACUCUAUUCCGAACUUAAAAAUGGAAAGCAUAAUGCUGGUGGUCUACAAAAGAGGUUUAAAGACUGUCUCAAGGCAAAUCUAAAAAGAAUGUAGUAUAAACACUGACAACUGGGAAACACUGGCCUGUGAGCGCUCCAGUUGGAGAACAGCCUUUACCAAAGGUGUCAUGGGCUUUGAAGACACUCAAUCUCAGGAUGCAAGGGAGAAACACAAAUCCAUAUUGUGAUCAGCUCUCUCCCAGAAACCAAUGUCUCCACUGUGGAAGGACGUGUGGGUCCAGAAUUGGCCUCCACAUUCACUUAUGGACUCAUUGUUAAAACCAUGUUUAUGGAAGACAAUCUUACUCGGCUACGAGUGAUCGGUAAAGAAGCACAAGUUAUUUCUUUAACCGGAAGCAGGUAAUGCUACUGCCGCCUUCCAUUCUGCUAUAAGUAAUGUUCUGGUUAAAGGGUCUUAAAUUAUUACAUGAAAUAAAAUCAUUUGUAGGUUAUCUAGUUUAAUCCUGGAAAGAUUGCUCACUGCCAGCUGAUGGGGAUCUGUGUAGUCCAGCAUGGCUGUGGUGGGUCAAUGUGGCUCCCUGGCUUCAUUGUGGCUGGGGGAGGACAUCACUUCCUCCUCUGACAGCCACACUGACUGCUGGCGCUCACCCCUGGUUGCAGCCAAUCAUGGAAGUCCUAGGGGGCAUGGUUUGGGGUGAAGACCGGAGGAAAGACUUCUUCCUUCUCUGCUCUUUGAAGGCACUGGAUUGGAACCUUAGUAUAAGGAUCCUCUUUAAAGGGAUCCAAGGGGAGGUGGUUCUGGUUGCUCAGAUGGGGGCUGAUGGGGCUAUAGCAUACCCAAAAUGGUGAUCUUGGAUGGGUCCCCCCAAUUUGUACAUCAUAGGGUGGUCCUUAAAGUUGAUUAACCUUGCCAAAUCAAUCCACUCAGGAUACACACCCAAUGCCUGCACCGAAACCUGCUAACAUCUGUAACAUCCAUUGGAGUUGUGGCCUGUUUAAAUCCCAAUUGGUUGCGCUGUGUUUAUUGCAACUAUAUCAUGCCUGCUCUGGUCCAUGGGGUCACGAAGAGUCGGACACGACUUAACGACUAAACAAUAACAAAUAUCAUGCCUUAGCCCCACAGCCUGCUGUGACUCCAAUGCUCCUUGGCCCACAACUUAAAGCCAUGGUGGAAUAUUUCUGAACAGCUGCCUGGAUAUGGUAUCUAGGUGAUCUGGACCUAGUGAUGAAAAGGUCACCAGGAAAGAGCACUAGGAACAUGCUCACAUCCCAUUCAGAGCAUAUGAGCGUUAUUUUUUUUAUAGAUGCAAUGCCUAUUUCUGAAAUAAACACUGGUACCUGAUACCAGCAUGGCUUUGGUUUAGGUCAAGCACUGUGCUCCGAUCAAACACAGUUCUUAAUAUCUUUCUUCAGCAUUUUAAAAUAUUGUUAAAAGCUGGCAUAGCUCCAUUCCUCUGCCCAUUUACUUCAGGUUGUGUAAGACCACUUUAUAGUUUGCAGGUUCAUUAUUGCAGCCAACAGUUUAGUAUAUUCGUCCAUUUGCUGUGAACAUAAUCUAUAUAAUGUGUUAUUUCCCCCACAUGGGGCGAGUCAUUGAAUGCAGAAGGCACAGAAAGUGCCCAGAGACAAAAAUCGCCAUCCUUUUCAUUGCAGGGAAACUGGGGAAGAAAAAUAUCUCCUGCAGUUAACAGAAACAACAACAAAAAACUUUACAAAAUGGUUCUCAUUUGGAUAACUACAGAAUCCUCUCUAAAUCUUGGGGAUUUAGCCAGAGAACAUAUUGGUUCCAGCAGACUAUGUAAAGUUAAUUAAGGAUGAUUAAUGGAGCAUUUUCCUUCCAAUGAUAUCUGUGACAGAACAAAGCUGUCUCAGGCUUGUCAAGCAGAAUUUGAGUUGAAUGAGUAUUUAUGUGAUCAGAUCUGAAGGGCUGCCUCUUGACAGAGCAGGGAUUCAUCAAUCAAUUGCACCGGCUUGCAGUGGUGGGAAAUUGGUCUAUCAGCAUAGCUAUACUCCCAUCCCCCAUUUUUUCAUUCUAUCAUCCCUCCGGCUACAAUGCAUCUUUAACUUGUACCUCUGACCACCUUAAGAGCUAUCAGAGAGAAGUAAAAGCAAGGGCUAAAACAUCUAUUAUGGGGGUGAUUUCUCAGCUGUACUCAUACAAUUGAUUUCUUUUAAGCAGAAGUCCAAGCAGUCACUGUAAAAUGAUGUGUGCCUGUUCAAUGAAUUAAUUGGUUUAAUAACAGUUUAGUUUUUGAGCCUGAUUUUUUUAAGUGUUUCUUCAUUUGCUGAUUGCUAAUUCCUCUACGGAAUCUUCCCCCCACUCCAGAUUAGCCUCUUUAUUGAAAUAUGUAAAAGCUCUUCAUUUAAAUUCUAUUUAUUCUUAAUUUGAGUUCUAAGAUAUCCAGAAGGGCUCAAGGCAAAUUAGAGUCUUAGGGGGGGAAAUCCAAACAAACUGGUGAAACAAAAUACACAGCAACAUAAUGAAGAAUUGCACACCAUCAGAUUUGGGUUGAUUCAUGUGGCCAUUUUUGAGGCCUUAAUGCUGCCAAGAGUUGAUUUCUCAUUUUAUUAUAAUAAUUUAUUAAAUUUAUAUACCAGCCUUCAUCUGGUUUACAGUACAAAGAUAUAUAACAUAUUAGCAUAACGAACAAAACAAUACCACUCAGUUUUGGAAUAUGAAAGAAUUGCUGUGGAAGAAGACUUAUUAUUAUUAUUAUUAUUAUUAAUCUGAGAGUUAGCUUUCAGGGAAAUUCUCAGGUGUGAAGGCAUUCCAUAAUUUUGAGGCAACCCCAAUCAUGCUUCUGUUUGGGUCUUCCCAUAAAGGUCUGGCCCACACUAUGUACAGUAUAGCAGAAUACAUUAUUUCCAGCAAAAAGUCCUGAGCUCAUCCAAGGAAAGCGUGAAACGUGCACAGAAAACAACUUCUUUGGAUGAGACCUACCCUGAGAUAGCGUUGAAUAGCAGAGGGAGUGGGAAAAGAGGACCUUCUGGAACAGUAUUUAUCCUAGAACCUUGGACAACUUUGGGCAACAGCCUCUGGUACUGUGUUGGCUCAGGAUGUCCUUCCUCAGUUUGGAAGAGGGAGCACUGAGUAAGGGGAAUAUGAAAAAAGAUGUUGGACUUGGUCCUCACAGCUCCAAACCCAUCCAUGCUUAAUGCUGCCUCUGACAUGUAGCAUACGGCAAAAUCUGACAUUGGGAAUUGUGUGUGCAAAUCAUAUGAAGAAUAUAAUUUGAAUUCUGGAGAUUAUCUCAGCAAGUUGUCCUUCCUAUAGUGAUUGCUGAGCAGAUACAUUUUCCAUAGCUAACUAUGAGAGUACCAUUGUGUGUGUGCAUGCCACAAGCAAACCCAAAAUGUCUAAAUAUUUAACCAAUGUUAUUUCAAAGAACUUCAUUAUUUAUCUUCUUGAUGGUUUAUGUUAUAUCACAUUCUCUUAGUCUCCUCUUUCUCUCCGUGCAGUUGUGGUUUAUCAUGAAAUAGCACAUCUGCAGCCACAGCCAAGUUGGACCAGUUGCAAAAGAUGCGUUUGGAUAUCAUAAACAUGACAAAAGAUAGAUUACAUUGAGCCUUUCUCCAUGUUUAACCAUUUUAAUAUGUUUCCUAUGCAGAAGAGGCUCUAAAUUUACUUAAUAUAUGUUAGCACUUAGGCACAUGGUUAGGAACAUGACUCGGGUCUUAACCUAUUCGUAUAUAAAUGAGGAGCUUCCUGUCUGAGUACAAGAAAGAGGGAGAAUUUAUGUCAAACAAUCAGGAAUUUAAUACAUAGUGCUCUAUUAGGAUGUCCACUUUGUGUACAUACUCUUAAAGGCAUGAUUACGAAUAACUUCACUUCUUAUAAACAUUGUGACUGAAGAAAUUACUCACAGAUACAACAAAAAGGGAAAGAAAGGUAGGAGAUUUUGAGCCGCAGCCAAUAAGGGAAUUACUUUCCCUGAAAAGGUUAAAAAUCACCGCAUUUAUUUUGCGUGCCAUAAUAUUUGUCUUUGAAGGUUUAGUUUUCUUCAGAAACCAAGGGGAAGAUGUUGCAUGUGGCAAGAUUUUAGUGACCUAGGUCCAAAGUUAUAUCAUAGAUCCAACACUUUCCCCCGACAGCUUUGGUUUUAAUGUCAGACAAAAUCUCCGUGGUGAGUAGAUAUUUACAUCAU